rnacentral:tRNA from 1 species
GGAGAGAUGGCAGAGCCUGGUUGAAUGCGCUGCACUCGAAAUGCAGUUUACACUUACGUGUAACGGGGGUUCGAAUCCCUCUCUCUCCG